GCGAGAGGCUCCGGGGCUAACAGCGGGCACCCAGCGCGAGUUCCCCACGCCCCAGCCUUGGUUUUCAACUUCCCGCUGCUUUUAGCUCGCAGCGUUGGAGAGGAUGGCUGUCAGUUCCGCGGAGAUGCAGCUGGGCGAGGAACAGAGGAGUUUCAGUGAUCUGAAGCAUUCUUUCAGUUCCAUUGUUUGACUUGGGCUGGAUUUCUCAGCUACACGCCUGGAUGCUUCAGAGAGUCCUCACUCUCCAUCUAGUAAAAGGUUACAGUUGAGACAUUGUUAUGUUAACCCAGAAUUUCACAGGAUCACCAAACUCCUCCUGUCUUUGUCAUCUUGCAGAAUUUUACCUUCAGAUACCUCCUGAGAUGGAUUGCCCUGCUGGGAAAUAGUGCAAUUCAGAAUGGAUCUCAGCACUGGCACCCAUGAGGAACCAGUCACUCCAAGUACAGCAAAAAUGCAGCAGCUGCUGCUUCACCUCCUCCUGCAAUUACUGAUGUAAGGCCCUUCAACACACGAGGCAUAAGUGCUGCCUAAUUCAAUCUGAGUAAAUCUUUAGAUGCUUUUCUGCUUCCUAUGUCUGAAUCAGAGGAAAUAAGGCUGUGUAAACAUCUGUUUUUCUAGGACUCUGAUAUCUGAGUCAAUAUCAAAGGAAAACAUUUUGAAAAGUAUCAUUUUGCUGCUGUAGAAAUCCUUGCCUCACCCAUACCUUAAGUACAGCGUGCAGUUAUGAUCACUGCAUCCCAAAGACACAAAUUAAUUAACAGAAAGUAAAUAUAAGGGAAACUAAACAGAUCAGAAAGAUGUGUGGCAAUAUUUCCCAGGUGUGUAUAAUUCCUAGAGCUACAAGGAUCAUGUACAGUAUUCACACCAGUGCCAUUGUCCUCUGUUCUUUGACAUAGCAGGGAGGAUUGUUGGCCACCUUACUUGAUAAAAGGAAAGUAUUCCCACAUAAGAUAGACCUUAACUUUGCUAAUUCCUUCCUUUUUUCUGUCCUAUUUAUGUAGUUUCCCUGGUGUAGCGUAUCUUCAAGGAUGGUGCCUGACAGCCUGUGAUUGAUUCAAACUGGUGUGGCUGCUUCAUGAAAAUUGGAUCUUAUUAGCUUAAAUCAAUUAAAAAGAACAGGGGAUUCUAAGGGGUAAUAAUAUUGGAGUAGAGGGACUUUUUCCCUGAACCAAUAUAUAUCCCUUUAAUUUGUUUUCAAAUAAAUUACAGUGCUUUAAAUGAAUUACUCAGACAGAAAAAGGACAGAAAAAUACAACUGGUUGAGGGGAAAGCCACUCCCAUGGAAGUUUACUGAGUGCCACUGAUUUGAUUUUGAACAGGCUUUUGAACAGGCUCUCCCUUUCUCUAGAACAUGCAUUCUACAUGUUUAUUUGAAGAAAUCUGACUCUUCUUUUUAAAUCUGAGAGUAUGGGUAAUGAAAGAUUCUCCCACAGAGAAGUGGAUUCUGUACAGCUAAGUGAGAUCCAAGACUUUCUCAAUGCCUUGUACCUGCAGCACUACCAUUUUCUGUCUCUGUUCAACACUGCACCAAAGUGUGUGGCUUUGCACAGAGCUGGCAUGAAACCUUCCCUGAUGGAUGUUCUUCACAGAAAGGAAUUGUUCUGCUAAAUUUAUAACCUUUCUUAAAGACACUUGCAUUUUACUUUUAGGAAAAAAAAAAUGCAUGAAAGUCUGAGAAGGUCUGAUUACUUCUGAAGGUCACAUAAUUGAUUUUCUUGAUUUAGAGGAGGUGGCUGCAGUAAAUUAAAAUAUCUGUAAGGUUUUAGGGUCUGUAUUAAGGAAGCAGGAACACAAAAUACUGGGAAGUUACCAAGUGAAUCGUCCAGAGACCUGCAGCCAGGACUGAAUUUAUAAACACUAGAGGAAAUUCUGCUGUCCCUCAGGCAACAGCUCAGCUGCAUGAAGUGAGGUAUGAAACCUAAUUACCCUGAGCUUGCAGGGCCCACGGCAUCAGUCAUAUGCUGCUUUUAGAAUCCUCCUAACUGGAUUUAUUUCAGUGACUCAGUUUUUAAGCCCCCCUUCAGCAGUACCCAAAUUAAUACGCAGAAGUGGGAAUUAUAGGAGUAGGCCAAAUUCAGCACUGUGAACUUGGCAUAGCUUCCACAGUCAGUAGAGAUGUGCAACAGCUGAGAAUGUGGCUCACUGACCACUCUCCGUUAAUUUAUGCUAUAAAACAGAUGAGACAACCUCAGCACCUGGGAAUGAUGGAAGUUUGCAAUGGAAGUUAAGAAGAAUCAGGUUUACACACACAACUUGUUUGCUUCAAAGCCCAAAUCUUGGUAGUUGUUUUCAUUCCUACCAUUUGUGCCACUGUUUUUACUCUGGAAGGAAACUACUGACAAUGUAUUUAUACUCAGUACUGCACUAGAGCUUAGUCAAACUCAGACUUAGCUCUUUAGAACUCCUUACUCUUUAGAACCUGUGAGAAUUGUAAUAAGAAUAUUUGCUUUUAUUUUGCUUAAAUUUCAAAAUAUCAUACUGGCAGUUUUAAUAAUACAAUUACAGAUUACUAAGUCUUUGUUCUGGUAGGUUUAAUAUACCAGAAAUUCAGGCAUUCUGGAUGCAAAUGCAUGCUUGCAAAAUAAAAUUUAUCCUAACCCAGUUGCAAAGCUAGUCUUGGAUAUUUUGAUGAAAAUUUGGAAACAUAUCUUUAAUGCUGGUCAUUAAAUCAAUGUGAAGCCCUGACUGUGUAAGUGCCCAUAAUAUGACCCAUUCAAAAUGCAUGUUUCAUAAGACUUCAUGAAAGGGCAUCAAGCAGUGGCAGGAAGGGCAGAAACAUUCAGCCUUUGCUCUGAACCUUCAGGAGUAAUUCACCAAGCCUUCCCCCAAAGCAUCUGCACAGUUAUGGCUUUGGGGUCACCAGAUGUGCUUGAACCACUUCCUUAAAGCUUGCUACUAUGAAUGUUUGAAAAAGGAAAAUGGGAAAAAAUAUUAUGCAUUGAGCUAUUCUCUUCCAAUAUAGCCCCAUACAGAUGCUGCUUUUGCAACACACUUCCACUGCAGGCGUAUGUAAGUUAAUAUUGUAAUAAAAACAGACAUCCAUGCAGUUAAGGAACUUCAUUUACUGCAGUUUCCUCUGUGGUCUGGAUUGUGCCUAGCAAAGAGUUAAAACAAGAAGCAUAGACAGAGCUCCAGGCAGUAGAAAGCCAGUUUGCACUGCUGAUUCAUGUGGGGACUCCAAAGGAACUGCUCCAUCUUCUGCUCUAAUAUGUUAAAAGGUGGAUGUGUCAGACAUAAAACAAUCUGUGCUUUUGCUGUGGGCAGUUCCACUUGCAGUGCUCUUGCAGAAAUGUUGUUACAAUGGGUCUGCAUUUGCUCCAAACCUUGCCCACAACACUGACUAGGCACAGAAAAAAGCAGCUUUCUUGUUUUGCAUACUUGUCAAUAAGAAUGGAGAAAGGAACAAACAGGGAGAGAAGCAUCAGUGCAGAGACAAGAAGGCUUUGAUUGGCUCAGCACUUUGAGAAAUGCAGCCUGUCCCUGCCCCUGUCAGGAGGCUGGAACAGGAGCUCCUGCCAAGCCCUGUACAACCAGUAAGUUUCCACUCUCUAGCUGCAUGAGCACACAUUUUUGUCUCCAAGAGGAAUGUGAGAUCAUCAUGUGAAUAGGAAUGGUGCAGAGUCCAAAGGGCUCCAAGCAGGACAACCACAGAUAUUGAUGAAAACAGUGUAUCUAGAGAAGUUGAAAACAUGCCUGAUAGGAAAUGGACUUUGUUUAUUAGGAUAAAUACAAGAAAGGGAACUGCUGUCAAUUACAACAGCUCCAGUUCCAGGUCAUGGAAGCACUUAGCACUGAACCACUUUGCAGAAGCCAGCUGGUUUUAUCUGAAAGUAAAUGCCAAGAAAAGAAGAUAAGCAAUACGUCAGGUCAGAUCCUUGUUGUCCCACUUCACCCUGUAAAUUUCACUUCUGUAAAUUUAGAACCUCCUAAAAGUUGUCCUACUUUUUUCCUCUGUUAUGACAUUUAGUAACUUCACCCUUCUGUAUGGAAAACUGGAAGUUUUGGUUAAACUCCCUGCACCAAAACCUUAUUGUCACAUUCGCUUUCUUUUCUUUAUUUUUUG